UCUGAGAGUUGAAUAUGAGGUAGAUGUUUGUAAUAAAGUGAUCUGAGAGUUGAAUGUGAGGUAGAUGAUUGUAAUAAAGUGAUGUGAGAGUUGAAUAUGAGGUAGAUGUUUGUAAUAAAGUGAUGUGAGAGUUGAAUGUGAGGUAGAUGUUUGUAAUAAAGUGAUCUGAGAGUUGAAUAUGAGGUAGAUGUUUGUAAUAAAGUGAUGUGAGAGUUGAAUAUGAGGUAGAUGUGUGUAAUAAAGUGAUCUGAGAGUUGAAUAUGAGGUAGAUGUGUGUAAUAAAGUGAUGUGAGAGUUGAAUAUGAGGUAGAUGUUUGUAAUAAAGUGAUGUGAGAGUUGAAUAUGAGGUAGAUGUUUGUAAUAAAGUGAUCUGAGAGUUGAAUAUGAGGUAGAUGUGUGUAAUAAAGUGAUCUGAGAGUUGAAUAUGAGGUAGAUGUGUGUAAUAAAGUGAUGUGAGAGUUGAAUAUGAGGUAGAUGUUUGUAAUAAAGUGAUCUGAGAGUUGAAUAUGAGGUAGAUGUUUGUAAUAAAGUGAUGUGAUAGUUGAAUAUGAGGUAGAUGUUUGUAAUAAAGUGAUGUGAGAGUUGAAUAUGAGGUAGAUGUUUGUAAUAAAGUGAUGUGAUAGUUGAAUAUGAGGUAGAUGUUAGUAAUAAAGUGAUCUGAGAGUUGAAUAUGAGGUAGAUGUUUGUAAUAAAGUGAUGUGAGAGUUGAAUAUGAGGUAGAUGUUUGUAAUAAAGUGAUGUGAGAGUUGAAUAUGAGGUAGAUGUUUGUAAUAAAGUGAUCUGAGAGUUGAAUAUGAGGUAGAUGUUUGUAAUAAAGUGAUCUGAGAGUUGAAUAUGAGGUAGAUGUUUGUAAUAAAGUGAUGUGAGAGUUGAAUAUGAGGUAGAUGUGUGUAAUAAAGUGAUGUGAGAGUUGAAUAUGAGGUAGAUGUGUGUAAUAAAGUGAUGUGAGAGUUGAAUAUGAGGUAGAUGUUUGUAAUAAAGUGAUGUGAGAGUUGAAUAUGAGGUAGAUGUUUGUAAUAAAGUGAUCUGAGAGUUGAAUAUGAGGUAGAUGUGUGUAAUAAAGUGAUGUGAGAGUUGAAUAUGAGGUAGAUGUUUGCAAUAAAGUGAUCUGAGACAAGGAGAAGGACAAAGUUGGGACAAAGUGGACUGUAACCUGGGAAGGAAGCUGGGAGGAGCCGAGGUGGAAGUAGAUAGCCAGGUAGAGGACUAUUGUGGAAUAGGUAGGGAGUGGGAGCC